rnacentral:tRNA from 9 species
GCCCAGGUGGUGAAAUCGGUAGACACAAGGGAUUUAAAAUCCCUCGGCUGUAAGGCUGUGCGGGUUCAAGUCCCGCUCUGGGCACCA